CGGAGUAACACGUGGGUAACCCUGCCCAAGAGAUCGGGAUAACACCUGGAAACAGAUGCUAAUACCGGAUAACAACAGAUGAUGCCUAUCAACUGUUUAAAAGAUGGUUCUGCUAUCACUCUUGGAUGGACCUGCGGUGCAUUAGCUAGUUGGUAGGGUAACGGCCUACCAAGGCGAUGAUGCAUAGCCGAGUUGAGAGACUGAUCGGCCACAUUGGGACUGAGACACGGCCCAAACUCCUACGGGAGGGGU
rnacentral:rRNA from 1 species